GCUUACGGACACACAGCCUGGUUCACGCACAAUCUCGUUUGAUCUCGGAAGCUAAGAUUGGUUGGGCCUGGUUAGUACUUGGAUGGGAGACCGCCUAGGAAUACCAGGUGCUGUAAGCC
ensembl:rRNA 5S_rRNA 5S ribosomal RNA